rnacentral:rRNA from 1 species
GACAGAGGAGCCAAGCGUUGUCCGGAUUGACUGGGCGUAAAGCGCACGCAGGCGGAUGCGCGCGUGGGGUGUGAAAUCUGGCCGCUUAACGGCCAGGCGCCAUCCCAUACGGCGCGUCUGGAGUGAUGCAGAGGUCGAUGGAAUUGCCGGUGUAGUGGUGAAAUGCGUAGAGAUCGGCAGGAACACCCAGGGGGAAACCAGUCGACUGGGCAUCUACUGACGCUGAGGUGCGAGAGCGUGGGGAGCGAACCGG